GACGAACGCUGGCGGCGUGCCUAAUACAUGCAAGUCGAGCGAAUCAUGAGGUGCUUGCACCUCUUGGAUAGCGGCGGACGGGUGAGUAACACGUGGGCAACCUGCUUGUAAGACUGCGCUACCGUCGGGAAACCGGAGCUAAUACCGGAUCAUCCUCUUUCUCUCAUGAGAAAAAGCUGAAAGUCGGUUUACGCUGACCUUUACAGAUGCGCUCGCGGCGCAUUAGCUAGUUGGUGAGGUAACGGCUCACCAAGGCGACGAUGCGUAGCCGACCUGAGAGGGUGAUCGGCCACACUGGGACUGAGACACGGCCCAGACUCCUACGGGAGGCAGCAGUAGGGAAUCUUCCGCAAUGGACGAAAGUCUGACGGAGCAACGCCGCGUGAGCGAUGAAGGCUUUCGGGUCGUAAAGCUCUGUUGUUAGGGAAGAACAAGUACCGGAGUAACUGCCGGUACCUUGACGGUACCUAACCAGAAAGCCACGGCUAACUACGUGCCAGCAGCCGCCGUAACAC
rnacentral:rRNA from 1 species